GACGUAGGGCGCGAGCGUUGUCCGGAUUUAUUGGGCGUAAAGAGCUCGUAGGCGGCUUGUCGCGUCGACUGUGAAAACCCGCGGCUCAACCGCGGGCCUGCAGUCGAUACGGGCAGGCUAGAGUUCGGUAGGGGAGACUGGAAUUCCUGGUGUAGCGGUGAAAUGCGCAGAUAUCAGGAGGAACACCGGUGGCGAAGGCGGGUCUCUGGGCCGAUACUGACGCUGAGGAGCGAAAGCGUGGGUAGCAAACAGG
rnacentral:rRNA from 1 species